AUGUGACCAGGCGCAAGGUAAACAAGGUUCACAAACGGUAAAUUUUAAAUUUAAAUCUCGCGCCUAAUUGGAUAAGCGGUACGACGUUGCGAGAAGUCACUUGAUUCAAUUACGCUUAUCCAAUUAGGCGCGAGAUUUAAAUUUAAAAUUUACCAUUUGUGAACCUUGUUUACCUUGCGCCUAGUCAU